rnacentral:lncRNA from 1 species
GCCUCAAGUGAUCCUCCUACCUUGGCCUCCAAAAGUGUUAAGAUUACAGGUGUGAGCCAUUGCACCAGCCCUUAUCUCCACUUUAGUGGUGAGGAAUCUGCAGCUGAGAAAGGCCAAGCAAUAUGCUUGACUUCACACACUGGCAAGGGGAUUGGUGAGGCGUGAAUUCCUCUCCAGGCUCUUCUGCCUUUGCCAGCCCCUGCCUAUGGGGCCACCCUCGGCUCUGACCAUGGCCCCUGCUCUCCACACUCUCACACUGCUCCUGAGCAAUCUCAUCCUCUUACAGUUUUAACUGUCAGCUGGAUGCUGAUGAUUUCGAAAUGUAUAUCUCCAUCCCAGACCAUUCUGAGCUCCUGUGUUCAAAUUUCAGCUAAAUGUCUCUACUUGGGUGUCUCAUGGGCGUCUCAAACUCAACAUGUCCCCAAGCAAACUCUGAGUUAUGUGUUGCACUCAAGCUUUCUCCUCCUCCUAUAUCAUUUCCUCUCCUCCUUCCCUUCCUCUCUCUCACUCUCUCACUUCAUUUUUAUUUCUGAGAAUUUGGGGUUUUUCUGCCUGAUUACUCUUCUUAGUUUCAAUUUCAGGACUUUAAUAGAUGAGAACAUAUGGAAUUUUUGUUUAAGAAUGGUAGAAAGUGGAUGGGUGCGGUGGCUCACACCUGUAAUCCCAGCACUUCGGGAGGCCAAAGUGGGCGGAUCACAAGGUCAGGAGAUCGAGACCAUCCUGGCUAACACAGUGAAACCCCAUCUCUAAUAAAAACAGAAAAAAUUAGCCGGGCGUGGUUGUGGGUGCCUGUAGUCCCAACUACUCGGGAGGCUGAGGCAACAGAAUGGCGUGAACCUGGGAGGCGGAGCUUGCAGUGAGCCGAGAUCAUGCCACUGCACUCCAGCCUGGGCAACAGAGCAAGACUCCAUCUCAAAAAAAUAAAUAAAUAAAAGAAUGGCAGGAAGUAAAAACAUCCAUUUGAGGAAAAACGAAGCAAUCAGAACUUUAAAGACUAGAUAUUACAACUCUGAAACACUUAACAAAAAGUAAAUUCACCAUGAAAGUACUAAUUUGUCAUUUGAAUACAAAAUGUUUAUCACUAUAAACUAAGGGGAAAUGACUAAAUUUAUAUGUAUGUGUGUCCUCUGUAGAUAUGUCCUGUUCUCUGACACCUGUGGGAAGUAAUUGUCCACUGUUUAGCAGAAAUUCUGAUUUGCCUCAUUUUUUCAUUUCUCUCUUACCAAAAAUAACUCUUUUUGUUCCUGUUGUUUUCUCCUGACAUUUACUUUUUAGGGUCUAGCUUUAUCCAGAUCUGAAAAUCCAGACAAUCCAUUUACUUCUGUCUGUAUCAGGAAACAGAGGCCUGGGUCUAGAGACAGGGUCUUGGUGAGGGAAGGACUCAAAACCAUGGGAUACAGCAUGACCGGGCAGCACCACAGCUGUGGAAGGACCAGGACCAGGGUGAGGCAAACAAGGUCCCUACGGGCACAGAAUUUAAGAAGGCACUCACUCUUGAUGAAACUGGAGGACCAAAAUUUUAAACUAUGGGAUCAGAAAUUCAAAGACUAUGAAUAAAAAUUUCAAAAGAAAGAAAUAGUAAUACCACCAAUAAGAAGAAUAAUUAAAAAGGUACAAAGAAAUUGGAUGCAACAUUGUAAAAAGAGCCAUAGUUUGGAGCUGAGCUGACAUGAGCUAAAAUCCUAGGUGAGUAACUUGUUAGCUAUGUGG